UGGGGAAUUUUGGACAAUGGGCGAAAGCCUGAUCCAGCAAUGCCGCGUGUGUGAAGAAGGCCUUCGGGUUGUAAAGCACUUUUGUCCGGAAAGAAAUCCUUGGCUCUAAUACAGUCGGGGGAUGACGGUACCGGAAGAAUAAGCACCGGCUAACUACGUGCCAGCAGCCGCGGUAAUACGUAGGGUGCAAGCGUUAAUCGGAAUUACUGGGCGUAAAGCGUGCGCAGGCGGUUUGCUAAGACCGAUGUGAAAUCCCCGGGCUCAACCUGGGAACUGCAUUGGUGACUGGCAGGCUAGAGUAUGGCAGAGGGGGGUAGAAUUCCACGUGUAGCAGUGAAAAUGCGUAGAGAUGUGGAGGAAUACCGAUGGCGAAGGCAGCCCCCUGGGCCAAAUACUGACGCUCAUGCACGAAAAGCGUGGGGAGCAAAACAGGAUUAGAUACCCCUGGUAGUCCACGCCCUAAAACGAUGUCAACUAGUUGUUGGGGAUUCAUUUCCUUAGUAACGUAGCUAACGCGUGAAGUUGACCGCCUGGGGGAGU
rnacentral:rRNA from 1 species